GCCUGCUGACGUCAGCGCCUGCCUACGCCGCCGUUCCCAUGGCGACCGAUGCGUCCCGCGCUCUAGGCGAAGACCGCGGCCCCGUCCCCGCGCCUCCACCGCCUUCUUCCAGGAGGAGGGGCCGUGCGGCGCCUGCCCGGGGGCCCUCAGGCCGCAGGCGGGCGCGAGCUUCAGGGAACUUAGGGGGCUCCCGCCUCCCCGGCCACGCGAGCGGGAACAGUCUCCUCCACUCGGAGCGGCGCCAUCUUCAGCUCUGAGUCACCAGGGCUGGAAAAAUACUAGAUGCGCUACUCGUGGACUCGUGAAUACACUCGUGAAUACAGGCCAUUUCCUGUACCUACAGCCACCCGCUCCACUCAUCAUGCCUUACCUGGAUGAUGCAGAAGUCCCUGGAAACAGAAGGUCUCACCCUUCUUUAUCUUUCUCAUGGCUUUCCAAGGCUCUUUAUCAUGUUACUUUCCUGCUCAGAAUUCUUUAAUGACUUGCCUCAAUGACCAGAUACAUGUGAUCUACAGUCAGCCUUCCAGCCUCAUCAUUCCUCUUCCAUUUCCUCCCCAGAAACACUGUACUUUAUGAAGCUCCUCCAAGACGUAAGUUUCUCUCAUAUUUAAAGGAGAGUUAUGCCAUAUGCUCUCAUAAUCAUGCAUAUUUCCUUGUCCACUUGCCAAAAUCCUAUUUCUCCUUCAAGUCUCCUUGUAAAUACCAUUUCUCCUUUGAAGGAGAUUCAAUUCUCGAUUCCCCAGGGUAGACUAGGUAUUAAUACUUAUGCUAUGCUCUAAUGGCCUUUGAACACACAUGCCACAAUACAUUUAUAUAUACAAUGAAUGCUGGUAUUUUAUAUCCCUUUUUUAUGAUAAGCACCUUAAGGACACUGCUGAUGGGUAUCUGUCUUAGUUGUUUUGUGCUGUUGUAACAGAAUAUCUGAGACUGGAUAAUUUAUAACAAACAGAAAUUUAUUUCUCAUGGUUCUGGAGGCUGGAAAGUCCAAGGUCAAGGUGACAGCAGGUUUGGUGUCUGGUAAGGACCUGGUCUUCAUUUCCAAGAUGGCACCUUAAACUCUGUAUCCAUGCCAGAAGAGCAGAAGAGAGUGAACCCAUUCUCCAAAGUCUUUUUUAUAGUGGCAUUAAUUCAUUCAUGAAGGCAGAGUCCCCAUGACCCAAACACCUUCCAUUAGGCUCCACCUCCCAACACUGUUGCAUUAGGGAUUAGGUUUUAAUGUGAGUUUUGGAGGGAACAAAAACAUUCAAAGCAUAGCACUGUCCAUCUUUGUAUUUUCAGUAUUUGUCACAGCACUCUGCACAGAGUAGGCACUAACUAAUUACUGUAUACCUUAACUGACUUUCAUUCUUUCUAUACCACUCAGAAAACAUCAAAGCCAUAGAAACACAAAGCCUCCCUCCCACUAGGUUUUUAUUUUAAUCAGCAGUUCUCAAAAUUUUAAGAAAUGGGAUUUCUUGGAAAAAUUCAAAAUAUUUUGGGGAGAAACCACAACUGGGUUUGCUAAUAAAUGCUGAUAUCUAAGUACUGAGCUAAUUCUAACAAAAUUAAGAUUUGAUUAAACUGACCUAGACCAACUGUGAGACUUGGGUGGGAUGGCAGAGAAUAACAAGAGAGAACAGAAGAAGGUACUCUUGGGCUGACCACUGGUUCAAUAUUCCUAGGGUGCCCUUGCUGUCCCAGAAUAAUUAUCAUGUUCUGGGCUUUGUUCUAUGAGUUAUAGCUACUCCUUUUUUCCCACUUGUGUUUCUCGCAUCUGAAUCUCCCUCCUUUAAGCCUUAUUUACCCUGUUGAUAAAGCUAAACUUCUGUUUUAUCUCCAAUCUCUUGUAAUUUAUUUAUUUAUUUAUUUUAGUAAUCUCAGACCUCUUAUAGAAUUGAGCCCCUGUUGUGUUCUUUCUAGCCUCUUUUCUGUAAAACUACAGAAAUUCUCCCAAUCUUAGCUUAGUUGCCAAGUUCCUGCCUUUAAUGGACACACUAACUAGAAAAAGAACUUCAAAUUGCCUGCAUUGAUAAUAGCAUAGUGGACGUGUGUGUGUGUGUGUGUGUGUGUGUGUGUGUGUGUGUGUUUUCUGCCCAGCAUCCCUUUCCUCUAGUUUGGUAAAAAUACGUUCAUUUUAAUAUGAAAAAUAAUCCCCUCACCCUCUUCCAUUGCAUGUGGUCUUACAGGGGAUGUCAGUGAAAGAGCCCUACCCAAGGCAUUGACACUUGGCCUAAGCAAGAACAAUCCAUUAUUUCUCUGCAAACUAAAUCUGAAAUGGUCUUCAACAGUUAAGAUGUUAGUGAUGGUUAACCAUCUUUAGGGAGCUGCCAUCACAGUAACCAUCACUAACCAUCUUAACUGUUUAAGAAAUGGGAUUUCUUAAAUAUAGAACCUAGCCCAGAACAUGGUAAUUAACUGUUUAAGAUGGUUAGUGAUGGUUAGCGUGUGCUGGCAGCUCUUUAAAGAGACUAUUCAUUAGUCCUGAAUACCAGAUUAUUGGGGUCGUCCUGUUUCCUGUAGUAUUCUACUUAAUGCUUGAUUGUUUAGCUUUUUAUUUAGUUCUGUGAAAGACUCCAUACCUUUCCAAUAAAUUAUUUUUUGUGCCCUUAAAUUAGAUAGGGUUGGUUUACAUUUUAAAACCCAAAUUGACAAAUGUAAAUUCCUUGUUGCAGUGCUCUCUCAGCAGCUGGGACCCGGUCUUGGAAUCUUAGUGUCAACUAUGAUGAAUCACCAACACUAACAAAAACAUUAUCUUUUAUUGGGUUAAAUAGUUUCUACUCUUCCCAAGACUGGGAACUGAUGUAACAGGCUUCGUGCUUUCUUCCCAACAAAUUGAUUCUGUGUGGUCAGCUCCUGUCAUGAUGAUAGAACCCCCUGUAUUGAUUUAUACUUAGGGGUAUAUCAAUGUCAGUCUAAACUUGUCCUACCUACUUCUACUGCCUGAUGAAUCUUUUUAUUUUAAUCUUUACUAAGGUAAAACUUACAUAUUACAAGAGUCACCAAUUCUAAGUGUAUAGUUCAAUGAUUUUUAGUACGUUUAUACAUUACAUAACCAUCACCCCAAUCCAGUCUUAGAUUGCAUGCCCAAUCUUGUUGUGUGUAUUUUCCAUGGCCAUUGAUGGAUCCUAGUAUCAUGUACUGCACGGGCUAUACCAAUAUCAGGCCCAAGAUGUGUAGCAGUCAAUCCUGGAGGUCUUGUGGUGCCCUUAAAUAUAAUGUAAGGGGAGAGUGUCAGUGUGGUGGAUUCAGGGGCAAUUACUAUGCUAUUGAAGAAGCACUGCCAAGGGCCAAAUAGAAAAGACACUGGGCUCAAAUAAUAAAAAUCAGCAAGGCAGACAAGACCACAGGAAACAGGGCACUUGGAAG
rnacentral:lncRNA from 10 species